rnacentral:rRNA from 1 species
AUGAACGCUAGCUACAGGCUUAACACAUGCAAGUCGAGGGGAAACGAUAGGGAAAGCUUGCUUUCCCUAGGCGUCGACCGGCGCACGGGUGAGUAACGCGUAUCCAACCUGCCCAUGUCUGGGGAAUAACCCGUCGAAAGGCGGACUAACUCCCCAUGGUCUCCGAUGAGGACAUCUGAAUUGGAGUAAAGCUUCGCGGACAUGGAUGGGGAUGCGUCUGAUUAGGUAGUAGGCGGGGUAACGGCCCACCUAGCCUACGAUCAGUAGGGGUUCUGAGAGGAAGGUCCCCCACAUUGGAACUGAGACACGGUCCAAACUCCUACGGGAGGCAGCAGUGAGGAAUAUUGGUCAAUGGACGAGAGUCUGAACCAGCCAAGUAGCGUGCAGGAUGACGGCCCUAUGGGUUGUAAACUGCUUUUGCGCGGGGAUAACACCCUCCACGUGCUGGAGGUCUGCAGGUACCGCGCGAAUAAGGACCGGCUAAUUCCGUGCCAGCAGCCGCGGUAAUACGGAAGGUCCGGGCGUUAUCCGGAUUUAUUGGGUUUAAAGGGAGCGUAGGCCGUGAGGUAAGCGUGUUGUGAAAUGUAGGCGCCCAACGUCUGCACUGCAGCGCGAACUGCCCCACUUGAGUGCGCGCAACGCCGGCGGAACUCGUCGUGUAGCGGUGAAAUGCUUAGAUAUGACGAAGAACCCCGAUUGCGAAGGCAGCUGGCGGGAGCGUAACUGACGCUGAAGCUCGAAAGCGCGGGUAUCGAACAGGAUUAGAUACCCUGGUAGUCCGCGCGGUAAACGAUGGAUGCCCGCUGUGGCGCGCCUGGCGUGCCGCGGCUAAGCGAAAGCAUUAAGCAUCCCACCUGGGGAGUACGCCGGCAACGGUGAAACUCAAAGGAAUUGACGGGGGCCCGCACAAGCGGAGGAACAUGUGGUUUAAUUCGAUGAUACGCGAGGAACCUUACCCGGGCUUGAACUGCAGGAGAACGAUUCAGAGAUGAUGAGGUCCUUCGGGACUCCU